rnacentral:rRNA from 1 species
AAAGUCGUAACAAGGUCUCCGUUGGUGAACCAGCGGAGGGAUCAUUACCGAGUGUANAAACUCCCAAACCAUUGUGAACCUACCACUGUUGCUUCGGCGGCCUCGCCCCGGGCGCGUUCGCGCGGCCCGGACCCAGGCGUCCGCCGGAGGCUCCAAACUCUUGUCUUUUAGUGUAUUUCUGAGUGGCAUAAGCAAAUAAAUCAAAACUUUCAGCAACGGAUCUCUUGGUUCUGGCAUCGAUGAAGAACGCAGCAAAAUGCGAUAAGUAAUGUGAAUUGCAGAAUUCAGUGAAUCAUCGAAUCUUUGAACGCACAUUGCGCCCGCCAGUAUUCUGGCGGGCAUGCCUGUCUGAGCGUCAUUUCAACCCUCAGGACCCGUUCGCGGGACCUGGCGUUGGGGAUCAGCCUGCCCCUGGCGGCGGCUGGCCCUGAAAUCCAGUGGCGGUUCCCUCGCGAACUCCUCCGUGCAGUAAUUAAACCUCUCGCGGCAGGAUAGCGGUUGAACCACGCCGUUAAACCCCCCACUUCUCAAGGUUGACCUCAGAUCAGGUAGGAAUACCCGCUGAACUUAAGCAUAUCAAUAA